GUACUGCAAGUGCUGGCUAUUUAUGGACUAUAUAGAGUAGUUGUGCUUUCUCCUGUGCUACCCCACAUGCUUAGGAAGACAUAUGGGUAAACUCCAGAAAACCAUGUUACCUCACUUUUAGUAUUCAUAAUGCCCCCUUAAAAGCCUUCAUCACAAAAACUGCAAAGUAAAAAAAAAAAGAAAAAGAAAAAAAAAAAACUGGCAGUGAUUAGGCUACUUUAUUGCUGAGACCACAGCAUGUCCCAGGAUCCUGUAUUUUCUCAUUGCUUCCCUGUGCCAAGCCCUUCCAUUGAGUUCUUUUAGUAUAUGUAACAAGAGUGAAUAUUUUUUGCAUAGGUUCUGACCCCUCCCGAGGUAAAAGUUUUUGACAGAGAUCCCCAUACUUCACAGUAACACCAGUGUGCAAUAGUCUAUAAACUACUGCAUAAAAAAAAAAGAAAAAAAAAGGCAAAAUCAGAGAGAUUGUUUCUCAUUCUGCUUUUCCAUUGACUGUACAACAGUAGUCAGCAUGCCUGAAAAAUGUCUCCAUGCAUGUUGUUUAUAGCUCUGUUGCAUUAGUCAGCUUCCUUUAAUAAAUCAGAUACAAGUUGUGACAUGUUGCUAAUUCGAUCACUAAUAACCUGCUCAAAUUGCAAAUCUAUGUCAGCAGGUUGGUGUUGAUUAAGUCAUAGUCACCACUAACAUAUUGUUUUAAAUGACUGAUAAAUUUUAUUUGCUGCAGUGAUAGACUGCCUGCUCUGCUGUAUUUGGUUGUGGGCUUGUGGGGGAUUUUUGUCGCGGGGGGCUUUUUGGUUGUUGUGUUCUUUUUUUUUUUUUUUUUUUUUUUUGUCUCCUUGUAAGCUUAGAAAAAUGACACAAACGGCCCUGAGGUGGUCCUCUAAAGGCCUUUCUCUUCCCCGGUUUGCUGCAAAGAGAGCUGGUAGCCACUAGAGGGGAGGAGACUGCCGGCUUUUCUGAGCGCUCCAGCUCCAGCUUGAAGGUGCAGAGGCUGUCACCAGACUGGCUGCCCAACGAAAUGGUUUAAAAUAUGUUAUGAAGGCACCGAAUUUCCUCUUCAAGUGCAUGGGCAACCUGUAAUCCUAAACUCCUUGACAGAGACUGCCUAUUUCGUGACUUAUGUCCACCUUUAUAGCCUGGUUCCUGAUCCAGCUCACUGGGACAGAGCAAUGAUGUCAGAAAAGGACAGUCACAUCACUGUAGACUGUGAAGAAGAAGAUGACAUCAAGGAUCUGCGUAUGGUGGGUGUUUCAGACAGUGUCUGCUUCUCAGCACAUUAAAUAUCCUGAACAUAGGUGUACAGACAAGAGUGAGUCCACACAAUGAGACGGCUUUUCCUCGCAACUGAUGAGCAAUCACAAGAAACCACAAAAUCUAUCCCAAAAAGAAAGUUUUCUGCCAGGACUUAGGAAACUUUUAAAGGAAGGUUGGACUACAGGACAUCUCUAUGUGCAUCCUGCAGUCUGUAUACACAAGUCUCAAACUCAGGCUGCAAAGCACAGAAGAUAGAAUUACAAAAUUUGCUUGACUGUUUCUCCAAGGACUAUCUGCACGUGGUUGCAUUGUUGUCAGUGGCUUCCGUCAUCACGGUAUGAAAGCACAUUGUGUGAAUGAUUUGCAGUCUGUCUCAUUAUUCGUGUAAGUUUUUAUCUAUAUUGCUUAUUUGGGAUAUUGCAUUUUUGCAUUCUGAAAGAUUCUAUGGUAUUUGGGCUUUUGGGGUUUUUUCCAUCCUGUUCUUUAGCUGUCCAUAAUCUAUAUAGAGUGCAGCAUUAGCACUGUUUGUCCCAGCAGAGACAUAUCUGUCAGUUGAAAACAUGUAUUGUUUGUGCUGCUUUUUGCUUCUCCUUUUUACAGUGUAAGCAUCAAGCAUGUGCACAGACUACAGGCUUACAUGCCCUGCACACAGAUAAAUACAAACACACAUUCCCACACAGAUGUGCACUUACAGAAUUAUUGGUAUCACCUACUUCCAAGUAGCUGGUGUCGCAAAAUCAAGCAGUGAUAAGUGUUUUCUAUGGAUAAUAAUAUGUAUCUACAAACAGGCUCCCUUCUGCCCCCUUGUUUCACAGAAUACUGUGCUCAACUUCCCUUUCCUGGAUGUUGCACUGUGCUGAUCACUGCCCUGCCUCUGCAAAUCCUAUUUGAAAAUCUCAUUUGCAGCAUAACUGACAACAAAGGCAUUACACGGUGUAUGCCCUGCAUUUUCUGCAGACUAGUCCUUGCCUUUGUAAGUUAUUUCUAACUUCUAAUGAAAAUACUGUGUGAUCAGUUGAUGAUCUUUUUUAUUUAUUAAUAGUCUGUAAAAUUAAGUGUGUCUAAUCAAAGAAUGGGUCCUUUUUUAAAAGUGCAAGGUGGAAUGUAUUAGAUCAGUGGUACAAAAAGCAGAUGUUCUUUACUGCAGUAGGCCUUUCUUUAGAUACUCUAAGAAUCAGGGACUUAAAAAUUAAAUUGAUGAGGAUUUUGAAGUGAAAUCACUCGCAGCUACUGCAAGACACAGAAAUCCUCUUGAGAUAUACAUUUUCUCUGCAUUUGUUUCCAAACUGUAAUUUUGUUCCACGAUUAAAACAAAAAAACAAAACAAAAAAAAACCAAAACAAAACAAAACAAAAAAAAAACAAACAAAAAAAAGACAGAAAAAUUAUUUGAUAUUUCAGUCUCUCAGGGCAGCUCCUGAAUAAUUACAUGCAAAGUGACCUAUUAGGUAUUUAUUGAAAAUAGUGUUGCAAAGCACAAAUGUGUAAUUUUUUUUUCAGGAAGGUCAUUUUUUAAAACAUCCUUUGUAGCUGCUUCACUGACGUCCAGGGGUUUUUGCAAUCCACACGGCACAGAUUUUUUUGAUUAUGUAGAUUUUUUUUUUUCCUCCUCUAUUGCAGUUUCAUAUGCAAAGCAUGCAUCAGCCACAUCCAUGCUAUCUCCUAAAGCAGUCAUUCUGAAACCCAAUCUGGGGACAGUGCAGACUAAAUAAAAUUUCAUUUUGAUUUGGCCUCCCGCUGAGAAUGGGACUGCUUUGUUUCAGCCGACAGAAGCAGCAAGCCAGAAAGGUGUUGAAUACACAAAUACUGACUUAACCGAAAAUUAUGUUUUGUUUCAAAAAUACAGAAGCUGCUUCUGACCUAAUUGAUCAAAACUGCUUUUCUUCAGGAAACAGUGCAAAAUGUCUUCUUUUCAAGGCAAAUGAAUUUGGGGACUGGUGAGAGAGAGAAAGGGUGGUUGUGGUAGAGGAAAUAUUUUUAUCCAAGCCUCAGGAAACGGUGGUCUGGCUGCAGUGGUGCAGAUGGUUACAUGAACAGAAUUCUCUCAGGGUAAAGCCUGCCAUGACUUACGUCUGCCCCCAAACUCCUGGACUGCAAGAACUAAUGUCAAUAUCCACCUGGAAACAUCCAGUCAGGAAGGGCUGGGGAAGCUGCUAGCCUGAAACAACCCUUCAAGCUCAAGUAAGAUAAAAAGAAGCAAAAUUGUUGGGAUGGCUAGGAUUUCAAAAUAUUACUUCAUAAUAAGCAUAAAACACAUCUUAAAGCACAUAUUAUGGGUCCAGAAGAACACAUCUUUCAGUCUUCAAGAAGUAUUUAAACUACUCUGGCAGAUGAAGGAAGGUAGCUUGUUUCCUUAUUUCCUGUCAAGUGAGCCAACUCCUGUGACCUGUAGUUAAAAGGGCCCUUUGUAAUUAAGGCAGUGAGCCUCCAAGUGAACAGUUCUCACAGUAGGAGGGGGAGCAGGGGGAAGAAGAAGAAGAAAAAAGCAACAAGGAAAAAAAAGAGGAUGCAUGACACUGCUUAACUAACUAAUCGGAGCUGAGCCAAUCCAUUUUCCUGCGGGCCACUCAGUGUAGCAUGCGCACGCAGAACCUCGCCCUUCAUUGGCUUCAUGUCCAUUUUAUGGACCAGCGAGUCUAUUAAGAUCUUGAACAAGUUUCAAACUCACAUUGACAACACUUCUCUGGGAUGAUACACACAAGAAGACAUGUCAUUGUUUGCAGUGUUCCCAAAUAGUGUUUCAUUUACCCUCAUGAGUCUCCAAAAGCACUCUGUAUGCAUUAAAGCUCAUGUUUUUAAUAUUUUUAUACUGAAAAUAGCUCAAGGGAAACAGCAAAUAAAUGAAUAUUUAGCAAAAGUAGUCCCAUUAACUGACUCUGAUAAUCCAAUGUUAGAGUAAACUGAGGAUAUAAUCAUAGGUUCAGCUGCAAUAUAAAACAAAUCAUAGUUGCCUACUAGACAGAUGGAUAGAGUUUUCUGAACCUAAAUAUACCACAGUCUUGGGGAAGGAUUUGGAUCUAGCUCAGCUGAAUUUUCCUCCAGGCUUCAUCACCUGUACUAGCUAAAGCUCCAUUGAUGUAAUGGAGAUUCUAUGUGUUGACACCUACACUGUAAGCACCUAAAUUUGAGUGCUUCAAUUCAUAAAUAUAUAGAGAGCAUAAAUACAGUUUAUAUCCACCCAUCAUUAGAUAACUAGGCAGGCUAGCUGGAAUAGCUGUAAAAUCAGCUGUAUCUGAACUGGAGCCACACACUCCCCUGGCAGUGUCAGUAAGAAGGAAUAAUCACUUGCAAAGUGAGAUUCAUCUCAAUCCACAGAAUAUGCCUGAAAUAAGUCAGAUAAGUUACACCGUAAAAGCUGUAUUGUUUUGCACUGAAGAUAACAGAAAACUAGUUCAGGUAAAGACACCUACAUACCUACAUAAGGAGAGCAAAUGUCUCCUUCAUUCAUAAGCAGUCAGAUAGAGAGACUUAAAGAUUGGAAAAAGAUAAUGAAGUGGGUUUUAGAACUGUUGGUGAGGCCAAUCUCCCACAGGAGGAGGAUGCUACUGAUACCCCUGACAUCUGAACUUUAACUAGUAGGUGGUAGGUAUCUGCCAGACAUGGUGACAAGAACAUCAUGAAGUACUCAUAAGCUAAGUCAAAAAGAUGAGAAAUGUAAUGUGAUGGGGAAAGGAAACACUAGAAGGACUCAAGGCAGUGAUUCCAUAAGCUUGGGAAAUGGUUAUUGUGGUUGUAUUUUCAACAGAUACAAGCAGGAAACAACAGCAGCUGUCAGUACCUGAAAGGAAAAAAAUGCGCUUCUCCAGAUAAAAGUUAAGAUGAGUUGUAGGUGGUGGAAAUUGAGAGAAGGAUACAUCUUAGAUAUGCAUUGCAGAGUUGGCAAAAUAGAAAUAUGACUGUGAAUUCACCCUUACUGACUCUAGGCUGCCCCUGUGGUUGUGGAAGAGGGAUUCCCAACCACAAGAAAUGGCAGAUGUGACACUUCAGCUCCCCAUCCCCCAGCAUAUUUAGAUUCUGCUGGUUUAAAAUGGAUCUUCAGCAGUUAAAAUGUCAAUAGACUCUUAUCAGAGACAUGUUAUUAGCUGUAACUCAUUUUCCUGUACUGUUAGAAAAAAUGUAUAAACUGGUUAUACAGAUUUAUCAGUCUGUUAGACAGAAAGACAAACUCUGGUCAUCCUAAGGGUACUCCUCUUAGCACAUUUUUCCCAGUCGAAUGAAGACCAAAAUGAUUGAUCACAUCUUUGUUAAGGUUUGCAGCAGGGGACACUGGGAAACUGUGGGAGUCACAGUUCAUUGAAGUAAAUCACAUGUACUCUCUUGUGUUAGUGCAGAAUGGCAGAGGGAACAGAUGACCAGCGUGAUCCAGUCUGUCUAAUUUCAUACAAACAGUGAAUCCUUGACUAAGGGGUCUACAGGGCUCUGAUUGUGAAAAAUAAGGAACUAAAAGAUCACAGUUAAAAACCUUCAGUAUGGAAAAUAUGCAAAGUUCUCAGUAAAGAAGAUAGAUAAAAAUAUUAUAAUUUUUCAUUGAGGCUACAAUUCCUUCUCCUCACCCAUCACAGAGAAAUUCAGUUCAAAAAAAGACUGCAGACUUCAAAGAUUUUGCAAAACUGGUGAUACUGGUAAAAUCAGCACUAACUUUGGUGUUUCAAAUAGUGCUUUUUAUACAAAGUCAAUAUUCUUUUGUGACAGUACAGGAUCAAGCUGACACAUUAAGAAUUCUAUUGGAAAUAAAAUAAAUGGCAUCACCACUAAAUUGUUUCUGAAUUCAGUAUAAAAAAUGUCUAGCAAGUGGGCAGUCAGAAGUGAAAGCAUUACCUAUUCCCUUUCAAAAAGGGGCAAAAAUAUAUCCUUAGAAAGUUCAGUUCACUCUGGUGAGGAGGUGGAAUUAUUUUCACCCUUUUCUCAUCCACUAGAAUGCUUUUCACAGCCAAAAAAUCACAAGGUACUGUUAGAUACAAGACUACUUCUGUAGGAAAAUGUGUUCAUGUUAAAAAUGAAUAGAAAUUAUAGCAACAGAAUAAAAUGAAACUUGCAAGCCCAGAGAAAUAAAACAACUUGUUAUUUAUGAUAAACAACAGGGGAUUGUUGUACGUCUGAAGCAAUCAAAAGAAUUUUGCAGCACAACGAAAAUCUGAACAAAAAUAAUAAUAAUACUUAGAAUUCAGACUUUUCAUUUAUUGAAUUGUUUCUGUACAACAAGCUUUACAGAAUAACACAAUAUAUUCUAAUGCUCUGGAAUUAUUAAUGAAACAACCUAGUUGUAAAAGAAUAUAGAGCUCUAUAGACGAGAGAGCUGUUAUUUUGUUGGUUCGCAUGCUUCUUACUCACAUACCAUUGUGUGUACUUUUCUGUCCUAAAAGUGUUCCUCACAUUAGUUUUUAAGAGUGUAGGAGUGCAUUUAAUGAUUAACUGGGAGAAAUAACUGUUUGACAAUACCUUACCAUGUGUGGACAUAAACUGGAUCACAGUCUUUAUUUAGUGGUUUUCCAUUUCCCCUUGUUAUUAUUUUUAUGGUACACAGCCUCACAGAAAAUCUGACUUCUUCCAUGGCUUUUCAUUUAUGCCCUUGUUCACACUUGAAAGCUCUGCCAAACUCAAAGGAGUGACUAUAGGCCUUUUUCAAGAUCCAGAUGUAAAAUAAAUCAGUGAUCACUGUCAGAUUACAAAUUUUUCCUUUUAAAAAAUCUGCAAAUACUUAUCCCAGUCUGUAAAACAAAAUUGAACGUUCCAGUGGUGCUCAAGUAAGGACACUAUUUGGUCUUACACACAGUAAGGAAAACACCAUAUUCCAGUCAAUGUAGUCCAUGCACCUGAAAUUGAGGAAAACUUUUAAAUUCAGGUGUAUUUAGUACUUAGACCUUCUUGUAUUCUUGCUGUCUUUUAAGAACUUCGCAGAAAGAUGGUCUGAAGGCUUUGUCAAGGAAGUGUUAUCUCUUUUUUUAUCCUCAGCUGCAGUACAAGCACAGAAGGAAGAAAUACUUUCCUCCAAAAAGUUUAGUCAAGUGUGUGUGCCCAAAGUAGAAGAAUUUUUCUUCCUUCUUGAGGAAAUUCAACAUAGCUUGUUAACCUUGGAAUAACUGGAGAAAGAGAAAUAAUUACGCUGUCAAAAUAUUUUCUGCCUCCAUCAGAAUACUGACAGUCCCUUCGUAGCAAUUACCUUCUCUACUAGAGUUUUCAUCAUCUUGCUCAAUUAUUAAGAAAUAAACAUACGAACACAGAAAAUAUACCUUAAAAGCUGCUCAUAUGCAUGCAUGAGAAAUGCAUCCAUGAGUUUAAACUAUGAACACCUCUAGAGUGUGCAAAGUCUAUCUGAACUGAACUUUGAAGCUUUUGCAUUGCAAAGAGCAAAGGGGAUGAAAUUCUUUGAACAGAUAACUUGUUCAUCUAAGUCUUUCAAAGGCUACUGGACUGACAAAAAGCACAUUUUUUUCACUGAGGUAGGCAAAUAUAUGUAUGGAAAGUUAAUCACGUGGUGUCAAUAAAAUGAGAAAUUCAUGCAAUAAGAUUACACUUUAUCUCGAUUUUAUUGAAAUUAAAUUGAAAAGUUUUUGUAUGCAAAUAUAAGGUACACAAUGAUCGUAAAACAGUUUUAAAGUAGAAAGAGGCAGAAAUUCCCUAGCUACAAAGCACAAACCAUUCACUUCUUGUCUAGAACAGGAAAGAAGAACCAAAAGCUGAAUAUGUCUGUAAGUGUCUUGUUCAUACUUCAUUGCAUCUUCCUUUGAAGCUGUGGCUUUGAUCACUGUUCACAGGGCAGUGGACCAAAUGGACUUCCAGUGUGAUACAACUAAACAUUCCUGUGAUUUUGAAUGCCACAGGAUUCCUCUAUGCUAGAAGACAUUCAGCAUAGAGGAUAAAAUUGUGAGCACUUCAGGAAGGAGCAGAUAUCCUAGACCAUUCUCCUCUUCCCCCAUGAAUUCUUUUUCUUAGCUGUUGUUCUUCCUCUGUAUUAUUUUUGUUGUGAAUAGUUCCUUAUUUAUCCUUACUGCCCAGGCAUGCAGCCUCACAGAAAGGUUUAUGAUACUGCUGAGUACAGAAUGAUAGACAGUUGGUCAGAGAGGAGUGAGCAACACAUAUACAAACACCUAUAGCUCAGCCUGAUUUCAAUCCCAGAUCUGCAGCAGUACAGAUCACCCUCAGUUUUUUCCUCCAGACUACCCUACUACAAUAUGUUACAUAGUGGGGUAAUUGAAGGCUUUAUUCAGAACACAGCAAUGCCAGGAUUAGGAUUCUCAUGGAUGAGUUUAGGACAGUUUUGUUAUUCCUUCUCCAACCUUAUAUUAACAGAAAAUCAAGAUCUGCAGAGCAGGAUGAAUGAGGUCCAAUGACCUUUUGCUGAAUAAAAAGUGCAAGGACCAAAGUUAUUUUAGUGUUAUCCUGUGAACUGUCUGAUAAUUGUACACUGUUCUGCUUUGUAUUUGCCUGUAUGUACAUAUCUUUGUACUUUUUAUUUUUACUCUGAAUCCUGACUUAAAUUGAAAAUUUGCCUUCCCCACUGGAAUAAGUACUAUCAGUGUAUUUCAUGCCAAUGGUGGUGCCUCACACAUGACAGCUUUUCUUGGCCCAAAUCCAUUUGAUCUAAGUUCUUCAUUUAAGUGUAUCUAAGUUCAGCAACUUUUGGUCAGUUCUUGUCAUUCCAUCAUGAAGAUGUUGAUCAGAUCGAUAGAAAACACUGUAUAACAGUAACCUUUUCCUCACUAGAAAACCAGCAGUUUCCUUUUAGAAAAGGAAAUAUUUCUACUGAAAAUGUUCAGACUCCUAUAAUCUCAAAUUAGUUUGCAGCCAAAAUAUUUGUUUCACCAAAAAAAAAAAAAAAGAAAAUUAAAAAAAAGAAAAGAAAAUAAAAAAACCCAUGCAAAAAAAAAAAAAACCAAAAAAACAAACAAACAAAAAAACAGCCCUACUUGUUUAGUUUCAUUUCUCUCUCUCUCUUUGCUUUUAAAGAAUUUAUUUAUUGUUUGUCAAGGAAAGCAGUAACAGUACAUAUUUUUUUUCACUCUUCUUUUUCCACUGAUUUCUCAACCAUACUCAAUGAAACUAUAACUUGUAAAGUCAUAGCAUGCAAAAGCAAAGGAAUCUGUUGGAAGAACUGUACAAUUGCCAAGGCUGAAGGCUCUUUUCUCACUUCUUGGACAUGGAUAUUUGCAUAACACUGUAUAUUUUCCAUUAUCGAAUAGCAGGAUUUUUUAACUCCAUUGUUCUUGGAUACAGUUCUGAAAUCCAGCCAGAAAGAUCCACUAUUUUAGUAAUUACUAUCUGGCACAUUAAGUGAUACAGGACGACCAGGUGUCAGGUAGUCUAUGGUCCACUCUAGUAGCUCUCAGCGUCCUGGGUAAAUUUCAGUUUUCCAAUAUUUAUUUCACUGGCAAGUGCAUCAAGCUGCCUGAAAGACUGCCUCUCACACUGCUAGAUUUCUCUGCUGUAGAAACUAAAUCUAGUGAAACACAACUUUCUGGGACCAGAGCCAGGUCACCCUCAGUUCAGUGGCCUUAUCUUUGAAUUUACAAUUAAGGGCUCAUGCAUGUCUCCUUUCAUGAGAGGCAAACCUCAUUCUUCCAGUGAUCCAUCCCCUCAAAUAUCAAACUGGUGCUACCAGUAGACUGCAUCUUUGCACACAUGAUGAGAUUUUGCUGGCAAAAAUUGCUGUAGAGUUUUAUUCCUCCUUGACUGAAUAUCUGUCACUUCCAAACUGAUGUUAAUUGAUGCCUCCUUGCCGUGGUGGUGGGAGUUUCAGAACAGAUGUUAAUACAGCAAGGAGCAUGUUAAGGAAAUUUAAAAUAUAAAAAGACUAACUUGUGCUUACAGUCUAUAUAUACUACUGGAGAUUUAUUGAAAAGCAAAAUAAAGAAUAUACUUAGCUGCUGUGGGUGGGGUCUGAAAUUAAUACAUUCUCCGCAUUUUUCAAACUAAGUCUGCAUGAAUAAACCUAAUUCUCUUCCUCCUUAAGUAGUAUUUUAAAUGCACCACACAUUUUUUUCCUUUACCAGGUAAGCAUCUGCAAUAAUAGGACAAAACAAUCAAGGACUAGCAUCUAGCAUGAGAGGCACAAGUCAGCUGAACUCAGAAAAUAUUGCUGUUAAAUAAUUACACACUGUCAUUAAAUUACAGUUUGCUGUUUCUGAAAAUGACUGCAUCAUCCAUCAAAGUAUACUGUAAGCUUUUUAAAUAGAUAUAUCAUGUAGAUGUAUUUUUUAAGAUUACUUGUAAAUGCAUUUCUUUUUAUUUUGUAUUCAUUUAAUGUUAAGUCCAUUAUUUGAGAUUCAAGACAGGAUACAUCUAAAUAUGAAGCUUUUAUUCUGCCCUGUAAGUUAUACAGUAUAGUUUAAUAUUAAGGUUUUACUAGACAGUUACACAGUACUCAGUUUUAAUAUGGAAUACUUCAUCAUGUUCAUUAUCGCCUAUUUAGACUCAUGUAAACUGACACUCCUGAAAUAAGCAAGCUUUAAAUUGUUAAUAUAAAUGUUAUGACUCUUUUAAUUGCAAUAGACAUCUCAUUAAGUAAUUUAAUACCAAUGGGACCUCUUACCAAUACACAAAAAAGCAUAUUUUGCCCAGCUUUUUCAUACAGCACAAUAUGACAGAUAAAUUUUUUUCGAGUGAUGCUCAUCAGCUUUCUCUUUGCUAUCCAUAUCCUGAGUGAGAACAUCUUGUCAGCAAGCUGACUUGAUAGGCUGGAUUAGCUGGUUUAAACCAGAGCGCUUUUGGCAAGGCUGCACCUAUUUGCUCAGGAUUAACUAGCAGGACUUCUCAGAAGCAGCACCAGAGAGAGAGCUACCUAGAUCAUGGCCAUGGUGGAAUUAGUUCUUCACCUAGGUGGAGAGAAAAAACAUGCAUGACAUUUCCAUUAGCCUAGAAGGCAGAAACAUCUGGUUACUUGGUUCAGCUCAUCAGCAGGAGAGCCUGUAGUUGAUUAGCCCUUCUCUCAGUAGUAGGCGUUACUACAGUCAGUGGGAAUUACUAAACAUGGUUUCAGGGGACUGACGUUAAUUUGGCUUGCCAAAAUAAUAUGCAAUUUUUUAAGGAGUUUGUGUUAAUUAGUGUAUAAUUUGAUGUGAUGUGAUUGGUUUUGCACAAAGAAAAGUAGAACAGGGUUUGCUAUUAGAAGCUGCUAUAGGAGAAUCAAGAGAUGGUACUUAAACAGCUCACAGUGUGACUUUGCAGUGGUGAAAGGCCUUAGUUCAUGAUCUAAUUAUACAAUGGGAUUCCCUUUAUGAAAAGCUAAAAGCCUUUUGAUUCUCUUUUGUCUUUUUCUAAGAUAUUUUAUUUUGAUGACUGUACUUUUAAUUCCUUGCAUCUACUAUUUCACCACAGAUUAAGUCAGUUUGGAUAUCCUGUUUUGGCCUGUUUUGUAUAAUAUUCUACUUUUGCAAGAAAAGAGAUAUGUAAAAUUAUAAAAUUUGGCAAUUUACAGUUUAUAUAAUUCCUGACUGAAUUUCUCUGCCUGCCUUCUACUGUUCAUUCACUAACUCUUUCUCAACUAUUAUUGGCAAUUUAGGCUUCUUUGCUACCUGUGGAAUGGUAAUCAGUGAAACACACUGAUGUCAGUAUUACAGUUUCUGCCAGGGUAACUGAUAACUGUGUGGUCUGGGAACUUAGAAACAUAUAUGAGGUACUCAACAUCCUAUCAUUAAACGUGUUUGCUGCAUGAUGGCUGUUGAAAACAUUUUAGAACUGCACUGAAAAGCAUCAGCUGAGGGCUCGGCUGAAUGAGAGGGUUGUUUAAGAUUUUUCCUCAGGAUUUUGCUGAGUAUGGGAGUAGUCAACUGAAGCAAUUCUCAGAAAUAGUAUACCCUUCCACAUUUCUCUGUUCUUCUCACCUUUCUUGCCUAUUUGGAUGGCAGAUUCUUUGGACUGAUGGCUAUUUCUCCCUAAGUGCUUGUACAGGGCUCUGCACAGAGUUGCCAGUCCUGGCAGUGGCCUCCAGGCACAGUUCUCUUAGACAUGCCAGUUAAUUAACUCACAGCUCUCUCCCAUUAUCUGCCACCCCCACCUAAUAUUUUAAAAUUCCAUGUCACCUCCACUAGCAACAUGAGGCAGGAGUUUAUUUAUCACUAUUUCCACAGGGAAGGAAGUCUGAAACACAGGAUGCAAUAUAUACACUAUCCAAAAUUUAGCUACAUACUUAUUCAGGACAUUUGUCUCCUUAAGCUGUUUGUCUUGUUAAUGGCUACUGUUUCAGAUCACCCUUGGAGUGAUCUCUCUGCAUGAACUACCAAAAUUUAGGCAGCAUGGACCCACCUCAGGAUAUUCAUUUCUAUCCUUCUGCAAGAAAACCCCAUGCUUGAAAGCCUGUCUCGCCGGGAACAGCUGAGAGAAACCUAUUUGCAUUUUGCUUGGGAGAGUCCUCUGUGGACUGGAGUUUCACACAAAUCUGCUGGGCAAUGGAGAACCUUCUCACACUUUGCUGAAAGUUUGCCUUAACCUUGUAUGCUGAUGUCCAGACUUCUCAGAAAUGUUCAUAAAUCUCAGAGUUACCUGAAGUCUCAUACAACUCCAGUUUCCUAUGAUACAAGGCUCUCUUGUAAAUGUUUCACAGAGCUCUCUUCAAAUUUCUAAAAAAAAGGCACAGCGUAGUUUAUGGGAUGUUCUGUUCGAUGCCUAAUCCCUGUGGAAAAGCCCUGUAGUUUUAGUAUGACUUCAUAUGAUAAAGCAAGUCCACCAAACACAAAAGAGAAAAGAGUUCUAAUAGACUCUUUGUACCAUCAAGGCUUGGGAGAUAUGAGCUUACUGGUGGGAAAUGUUUAAAAGCCUGAAAAAGAUUGGUGUCAAAGGAAGCAUGCACAGUAUGUAGUGGAGUGGAGUUGGUAUUGCAUAUAAAUAAGGGGCAAGUGUGCUAGCGCAAAAGGGUGCAUUGAGCAGUUCUAGUAAGAGAAAAGUGGGGAGGAAGAAAAAGCCCAAACAUCUCACUGGCACAGACCAGGACUGAGGAUGCCUGGAGAGCUUCCAGGUAACUUCUAUUAGGUGCAGCAAAAGUGCUGGCAUCCAUCAGGAUGACUGUCUGUGCAGAGCUGAGCUGUCUGCCAUGGGAUCACUGGAACCCUUUCUGGAUUAUGGACUUAAAAUGCUCAUAUGCUUGUUAUUUAUUUUCUAUUUGAAUAUCACUUAUUACUGAAAUUGUGUUUGUUUACCUUGAACAGUCACUAAUUUGUAGUUACUCCUCAGCUUUUUUAAACACUACGUGCAGUACUGAGCUGUUUCUGAUAUCACCUCAGUUAUCUGCCUCUUUGACUGUCUUUGCCUAUCUUAUACCUAGAUUUCAAGCUCAUGGAGAGUGAAUGUCUGCACUGCUGAAUUCUGUAUAUUCAAGCUUUUUGCAGAAUGAGUUUCUGUAUUUUGUUCUGUAUUUUCUACCCAUCUAUCACAGUCAUGUCCGUAACGGGGACUACCAGGAAGUACAGUAAUGUGAAGUACAGUAAUGUGAAGAAAGAUAGAUGAAAAAAAAAAAAAAAACCUGCUGAAAAAUAAAUGUUUCAUUUUGUCUACUGAGGCAAUUUCAUAUAAAACAGUAUUGCAAGACCAGUGUUUUAAUCACUUAAUGUAAGCCUCUCAGAAACCAUACAGUAAACAGACCUGGAAAAUUCUUCAUAAAUAUCAACUCCUGUGCUAUAUACAGGUAAAUAUGUCUUCCAUCAGAAAGAUACGUCCAUCAAUCCGUUAUUCAUUUACAAAUACAAAAUGUAAACUUCUUUGAGGAAACAUAAUAUUUUAGGCCAGUUGACUUUUACAGUCUCAUAGUACAAAUACAGAAUUAUUUCUAUUGAUUCAGAAAAGUUAUAUUUUCACUUAUUUAAUGAAAAGUGGCAGCAAUUGAUGUAAAACCAAAGCAGCAAUACCAUGCUAAUAACCAGGACAGGUUAAACUAGCCUAUGUAAAUCUAUAUUAAUUUUAAAUUAAUUAUGAGAGUAGUUGAUUGAUCAUCCAAAUAUGAAGAAAUAAUUUCAGAUUUUGCUUAAAUGCAAAAGAAAUUGAUAUAGAGAUAAAUCAUUAAUUUCCUUUCUUAGCAAGGCUGCCUUCUCUUUCUUUCCACCUCUCCUGCCCUCUUCACUUCCCAGAUGAUAUUGGCAUGACUCAGGUCAGGAAAUUUUCCUACUUUGUGAUGAAUUACAGAAGUAGCCUGAGAACAAUUGCUGAAAGAAUGGAUUUUAAAUCCAUCAGUGGCAUCAGUACUGCAGGAGGUACAUAAAAGACAGCUGAGCCUUACCUAGAAAAGCCCUGAAAGGCUGAAAUUUCUUGGACACCUGUAUAUACUGAGGUAUCCCCGUAUGAGCUUCUACACUCAUGAAAUGCCAAAGCACAAUUUUUAUUUGUGACAGUGAGACUAAAAAUUUUCCUAAUAUAUUCACAUGGGGCUGAAAAGCUUGGAAGCUGUUGUACUAUUAUUUUUGUUUCUGUUACUCAGAUAUAUUUUCCCUGUGAAGCACAUUACAGCUUGGGAGUGCCCAGUCCUGUGAAAGGUAAAUUAGUCAGAGGUACAUAAGCCAAAAGCCUCACAAGAGAAGUCACAAGGAAAUCUAGUCAAAGCAAAUGCACUGUCACUAUACAACAGUUGCUGUAAAUAUGUAGAUGCUUUCUCUUUGUAACUGGUGACUUUAACAUGCUCUUCAUCUUUUGAAACAGGACUGAAAUCUUCAUUCUUCAUCUCACUUCCAGAUGUGAUGAAUCUAAUUUUUCAGUCACUAUAGAUUCAAAAGUCAGUUUGAAUGGAUAUGAUGUAUCAUUAAUAUAAAAGAAAAACACAAUUAAAACUUCAAAACUACCCAUUGUCAAACAAGCCAUAUAUUAACAUUACAAAAUGAGUUACCAUUCAUACUGAGUUGAAAAUUCCUUUAUUAAGUUUUUAGCCACAGAUUUUUUUUCCUGAAACCCUGUAAUAUUGCAGCAUUUUACCUAAAAUAUUUCUGAAGAUUUGUUCAAUAUUCACCGAUGUUGGGAUGUUGAAGCACACUACAGAACAACAUAAUGUAAUGACUUCUGACUUAUGGACUUAUCAAUGUCACAGGUUAAGCAGUUAAAUUGAGAAUCUGUAAAAUGUCAAAACAGAGCAACAGUAGUGGACAGUAUAAUUAGACUGCAUCACAAAGUGUUUGUGGAAGGGAGGGAAAAUGGUCCAUUCAACCUUAACUUUUAUAUUACUUUCUUCUAAGUAAUAAUGCUAUCUCAUCUAGGACAGGCCAAACAUAAAGCUCAUAUGGAAUUGUGCAGCAAGAUACUCAAACUGAACAAUUAACUAAUACACUUUAAAAGCUUUUUUUAAUAAAGGUUUAAGAGUAAUGAGGCAACAAGGCUUUGCUGUAAGACAUUUCAUUAUGAAACUCAGUUACAUAGCAAAACUAUCAGUUUUCCCUUGUUGCCUUCCAAGAAAAUGCUGUGACUUUCCAAAAGACAUUAUGCUCAAUUAAUCCCUACUGCCAUCGAGGCAUGCUAGCUGCGUGCUUCUCCGCCAGAAGCAUUCUACAUACAAUAAAAAUGGUAGGAAUAUAGCACAGUUAACCACCAUCAGGGAUUUUAGAAUUAGACUGGGUAUAAUCCUAAACUCUAUAUUUAUCUCUAACCUUCCUUCUUGCUAGAGUAACCUCAUAACUUUCCCUAUAUGUGCUCCUGAGCCAUUUGUUUACAUGCAAAAUCAGACGACAUUAUUAACUUGCCCUAUUCCUUAGUCUGUUUUCUUCCCCUCAAGAUUCACUUUUUGGUUUUUUCUCUGUGACAUUUGCAAAAUUGACUGUGAAGGAAGGGUAAUUAGUCCUCAAUGGGGCUGUGCUCCUUGGUCUAGGUUACCAAGAUGCCUAACUGAAAAUUUGCUCUAGCAUCUCCAUGGUUUAUGUAGUCACUUAUGUCUUCUAACUGCAAUAUGGAUAUAAAUUUACCUCAAGAACACUUUGGAGGGGAAAGCUACCUUUUCAUUAUAUAUUUAAUAUCCAUUAUAAUGGAACUUGGCUUCUAGUUCAGGCCCUGAAGGCAUUUCACAGUGCAAAUAAUAGACAAUACUGAAGAUAAAAAUAAAAAUUCAUCAUAAGGAACUUGAUUUGUUGUCCAAAUCCUGGGUAAAGGUGUCUAUAUCUGUAUAAAGUUUUACGAUUUUUGUUUUGUUUAAAUAAAUUGUCAUUUAACACUUAGUCCAUAUUUCCCCUGAUUUCCAUUCAGAUAUAUUUAUGUCUCCAUAUUGCAGUGAGUUCCUUUAGUUGUUGUUUGAAAUCCAUGUCUCAAAUUCAUGUACCAUUCCAAAUUUAAGCUUAUGGAAUCUUCACCAAUACAAUUGUAUCUGAGUAACAGAUUGUCUGUUAAAUGGAAAUGGAAAUUAUCAACUAUAUGAAUUAUUUCUUGUGUUAUCCUCACAACACAGUGCUUUGAGUCACAUGCUGUUAGACACUUACUGUGACAUGCAGCACUGUUUUCAAAAUACCUACAGCUCCCAAAGGUGUCAUCAUGAGAAUUAGAGGUCUCAGCAGUCUUUUCAUAGGACAGGAUUUAAAGCAAUAUAUACACAUUAUUUUCUUGUUUGAACAUUACCCCUAACAGCAUAUCCAGGUAUAUUGUCUUUUCUCUCACCACUCAUAUAGAGAUGAGAAGAGCAUACAGGAGAAGCAAUCACUUGUGGUAGACAAGUUUUGAAGAACAGUUUAUUCAAUCACUUUGACAUCUACUCUAGGUAGGUAGUGUCAAUUCUGUAGUAACUGCACAUGAGCAGGAAUAUGCUUUCUUUUGCGUUAAUUUGCAAAAUAUUUCCUACCUGCCACAGAGAUCCAAAUUAAUGGUAUAGGUUUUGAUUUUAGUAUUGUCGUUACUAAUUUGGUUCAAGUUGUUUUACGGAUGCUAUUAUGCAGUAAAGAUAACUGUUAUAGUAAAAAAUUAUUUAAGAAAAAUCAAUAGAAGAGAGUUUUAUCGCAAAAUAAUUGUCCAUACACACAUAAGCAACAACAUAGCAAGAAUGUGGAUUAGUACCUUUUUUCUAACUUUGUAGACAAAUCUGUCCUAGCCAAAUUACAUUUUAAGAAUAAUUUCAUAAGAUUUGUGUUGUAGCACUUUUUACAGUAAAUGGUUCUCUAUUAACUGAUUCUCCAUUCAGUAACAGUCAGAGAUAUUGCUUUCACAAUUUUAUGCAGACUGUGUACUUGGAGUUUCCUAAAAUUUUUUUACAGGUUGCUCAUGGUUAUGGAGGCUACAGCAUUUGAACUGUUCUCUAUUGUUUGUGACGCAGUGCUCUUUUCUUUCUUGAGGAUAAGGCAGAAUGUGGUACAGUCUGGGAUGGAUAUGGUGAGAAAGUACCAUCAAAACAGGGAGAGCAGAUAUUCAGAUCAGAUAUAUAAACCACUGCAAAAACACUAAUUUACCUACUAUCACCUUGUUGAAAAAUUAAACCUGUCUUUCUUCAUCAGUAUGUAGCAUCUUCAAAGUGCUGAUAACAGGCAGCCUGGACUUUUUAUAUUAGAGACAAGUCUUUCAUCACAAGAGGGAGAAUGCUUUCUUCACCUUCUCUGAGCUUCCCAACCUUCAUCCUCACUAUGCUCCCAAAGAUAGCCUUGGUUUUUUUCCUUCUACCUCUUCUCCUGUGAACUUUCCCAUCUGUUUCCAUUUACUACCAGAUUCCCCUGUCCUACCCUCUCCAUACAGCUGACGAACCACACUGUACUCUCCUCCUGCUUCUUCCUCCCCAGGCACUCUGCUCAUGGCAGUUCUCUCCCUCCUCUUUCUGAGGACCUGCUUUCCUGAGCCAGCGGGUAGCUUGCCCUGGGGCACUGUCCCUGGGGCUUGUGAAGCAUCCUGCCUCUGGCUAGGAAAGAUUCCCAACCAACCUGGCAGCUUUGCCAGCUCCCUGUCAGUCCCUGCCACCCACAGGCCACUCAGUUGGAGCCGCAGGACACAGAGGCAGCAGCGCCACAUGCCAGUGUGUGUCUGUGCCAGGGAUGUCUCCAGAGGUGAUGGAACACCGACACUGCUUCUCUGGGAGGACAUCCCACUUUGAGGCACACAUCCACACAAGAGCAUGCCAGGUUUCCAGCAGAACAUCUCCUUUAAUGAGUGCACUGCUCCUUGCUCCCUCACCCAUGUUAGUGUGUUGGCUGUUAUGCAGGACUUGGAGCACACACACUGCAAAACCAACAAGGCUACACAGCAACAAAAAUGCUAGCAACAGAUAAUGAAUUGGAGACUUCAGAAAUAAAGGAAGGAAACAAAAUGAUAAGUAUUUCCAAAAUAAUAGCAGGGGUCAGUCAGGAAUUUUCAUCCUUGCUCUCCUAUCAUUACAUGAUGGUAAGGAAAUACUGCCUAAAAGUAAAAGCUGAUCUUUGGAAAUUCAUGGAAAAAAAGAAAUAUUUCCCCUCUCCACUCAUAGUAUAUAAUUAGCUCAUGGUAAUAAUUGCCCUUGUGUGUCACUGAGUCCAAGUACUUUGUAAGAUACAGUCAGUACAAAAUACUUGUAGUUACCUAUUUUGUAAGAGGGAUACUAAUGGCAAGCUUCAUGCUUUAGGUCAGUCUCUGUUAAAGACAAGGAGGAGACUUGAUACACUGUCCCUUUCAGAAAGAUUGAAUGUUAAACCACAGAGACUUAUUGUCAGACCCUGUACAGCAAUUUCUACUAUAAAGAAAGCAAGGAGGAUGUAGAAGGCUAGAGAAUCAAGAGGAAACAUGUAAGGAGUGGGAGAGAAGAUCCAUUAUAAUAAAAUGAUAAUAAAAUUUUGGUAAAGAAAAAGGCUGAGCUGAUGUUUCGGUAAACUCUCUUUUAUUUUUAUUCUGUUCAUUUUUUCUGUGGUGCUCUACAGAGGUUUUAUUAAAGACUAUAUAUUUACCUUUGUUUUAUAGAAACAUGCUUUUGAGAGUAUUAUUAUUUGACUUGGAAGCUACCUCCAGUGUUUACCUAGAUGAUUAUCAAUAUUCAAUUUGGAUUUGGCUUGCUUGAUGCUGGACGAUUAAUGAAGGAAGCCCUAACUGGACAAAUGUUGGUCUCCUGAGACAAUGUGUUGUUGAUAACAGAAAAGGAUUGACAAUAAGAUGUGGAUGUUCAUCGUUAAUGAACUCUAGUCACCAAGUGGAAGUCAGCUAAGUUUGAUGUUGCAAUUGACCACCUUCUCAGCAACAACUGAAUAUUUGCUCCUCAAAAUGAGCAAGCCUGUUAACUGUGAAUGUGAAGAGAUGAAGCAAGCA